rnacentral:ncRNA from 1 species
CUGCGUAGCUCAGUAGGAUAGAGCACAGGAUUCCUAAAAAAUUGGGCACUUUCAGAAGAAAUUCUAAAAGUGAAUCUGCUCAAAUUCGGGGAAAACUUCACAAGAAUUUGUAUGUCAAUCCCGAGCUAAGUCUCUUUUUAAACAAAGAGAAAAGUGUAGAGACUGAACGGGCAGCACCUAAAAAGCAUAAGCUUUAAGGUGAAGAGACAGUCCAGACCACAAACAGUUUUUUUG